UACAGAGGUCCCGAGCGUUGUUCGGAUUCACUGGGCGUAAAGGGUGCGUAGGUGGCAUGGUAAGUUUGAUGUGAAAGCUCAGGGCUUAACCCUGAAAUGGCAUUGAAUACUAUUGUGCUGGAGGUUUGGAGGGGGGACUGGAAUUCUUGGUGUAGCAGUGAAAUGCGUAGAUAUCAAGAGGAACACCAGUGGCGAAGGCGAGUCCCUGGACAACACCUGACACUGAGGCACGAAAGCCGGGGGGAGCAAACAGG
rnacentral:rRNA from 1 species